UUUCCGUAGGUGAACCUGUGGAAGGAUCAUUACCGAGUUAGGGUUUGCUCUUCGGAGUGCCCGAUCUCCCAACCCUUUGUCUAUGAUACCACAGUUGCUUCGGCGGACCGAGGGGUCAUACCCUCGCCUGGUCUAUGGCCGGGAGCGCGUCCGUCGAUGGCCCCUAUCUAAACUUUUGAACCCAAAACCUGUCGUCUGAAAACUUUGAUAACUAAAUCAAAAAACAAAACUUUCAACAACGGAUCUCUUGGUUCUGGCAUCGAUGAAGAACGCAGC
rnacentral:misc_RNA from 1 species